CUAAUAAUUAUUGCAAAUACACGUAAUCACCCGUAAAUUUUCUCUAAUUAAUAUCUCAAUAAUUAUUGCGAACGUCACAAAAUGAUAUAGGACUUUUAUGUUCUUCUCAAUCCGUACUAUGUCUACGUGAAAACUUUGGAGGUCGUUUUAGGGCACUCUGUAUAAUUAUGUGUGAUUAUAUAUGAUCAAACAGAAGAAACAUGAAGAAACAGAAUUCAUGUAUCAUCAUUGUUUUCCGGGAAGAUAAGUAAUACGUCGGCUUCCCAGCGCGAUCUUUCAGGAACCGCUGAACGAUGGGACAUAGAGGACGGGAGAUUUUGCGGAGUUACGCGAUUAUGAGAGACGUCUAAAAGGUAAAUUGACUCUAAUGACACCGGUUCCCGAACGAUCGUCAACCUUCGACCGAGAUUUUACGGCAUGGAAAGUUAUUGGGAACUAAACGGCUGGACUCCCAGCAACAAAUUUCAAUCUUACUCCACAUUCGUUGAUGAACGAGGCGCGGACCUAGGAAUUUUUAUGCGAAAGUUCCUCCGUGCGAACGAGGAGUUCAAUGUACUUUCUCGAGAUUAUGCGAUGUCGCAUUGGUAUCCGCAAAAUCGAUACUGAGAUAUACUGGUCCGCUUAAUAAAGAUCUAAGGCGUUUUACAA